GAUGAACGCUAGCUACAGGCUUAACACGUGCAAGUCGCGGGGCAGCAUGGGGGUUGCUUGCAAUCCCCGAUGGCGACCGGCGCACGGGUGAGUAACGCGUAUCCAACCUGCCCUUCACCACGGGAUAACCCGGCGAAAGUCGGACUAAUACCGUAUGUUGUCCAUUGACGGCAUCCGAUUUGGACGAAAGGCUUGGCGGUGAGGGAUGGGGAUGCGUCCGAUUAGCCAGACGGCGGGGUAACGGCCCACCGUGGCUACGAUCGGUAGGGGUUCUGAGAGGAAGGUCCCCCACACUGGAACUGAGACACGGUCCAGACUCCUACGGGCGGCAGCAGUGAGGAAUAUUGGUCAAUGGGCGUAAGCCUGAACCAGCCAAGUAGCGUGCAGGAUGACGGCCCUAUGGGUUGUAAACUGCUUUUAUGCGGGGAUAAAGUGGCCCACGUGUGGGCUUUUGCAGGUACCGCAUGAAUAAGGACCGGCUAAUUCCGUG
rnacentral:rRNA from 1 species